rnacentral:rRNA from 1 species
CAGCCGCCGCGGUAAUACGAAGGGGGCUAGCGUUGUUCGGAAUUACUGGGCGUAAAGGGCGCGUAGGCGGCCAUUCAAGUUAGACGUGAAAGCCCUGGGCUCAACCUAGGAAUUGCAUUUGAUACUGUUUGGCUUGAGUACGGGAGAGGUGAGUGGAAUUCCCAGUGUAGAGGUGAAAUUCGUAGAUAUUGGGAAGAACACCAGUGGCGAAGGCGGCUCACUGGACCGACACUGACGCUGAGGCGCGAAAGCGUGGGGAGCAAACAGGAUUAGAUACCCCUGUAGUCCCUGUCUCUUAUAC